rnacentral:rRNA from 1 species
AGACGUCUACAUUAGACUACCCGCGUAGUCCCAGCCGUAAACUAUGCGCGUUAGGUGUAUCGGUGACCACGAGUUACCGAGGUGCCGAAGGGAACCGUGAAACGUGCCGCCUGGGAAGUACGGUCGCAAGGCUGAAACUUAAAGGAAUUGGCGGGGGAGCACAACAACGGGUGGAGCCUGCGGUUUAAUUGGACUCAACGCCGGACAACUCACCGGGGACGACAGCAAUAUGUAGGCCAGGCUGAAGACCUUGCCUGAAUCGCUG